GUGAGGAAUAUUGGUCAAUGGGCGAGAGCCUGAACCAGCCAAGUCGCGUGAAGGAAGAAGGAUCUAUGGUUCGUAAACUUCUUUUGCAGGGGAAUAAAGUGCGGGACGUGUCCUGUUUUGUAUGUACCCUGAGAAUAAGGAUCGGCUAACUCCGUGCCAGCAGCCGCGGUAAUACGGAGGAUCCGAGCGUUAUCCGGAUUUAUUGGGUUUACAGGGUGCGUAGGUGGUUUGAUAAGUCAGCGGUGAAAGUUUGCAGCUUAACUGUAAAAAUGCCGUUGAAACUGUCGGACUUGAGUGUAAAUGAGGUAGGCGGAAUGCGUGGUGUAGCGGUGAAAUGCAUAGAUAUCACGCAGAACUCCGAUUGCGAAGGCAGCUUACUAAGCUACAACUGACACUGAAGCACGAAAGCGUGGGGAUCAAACAGGAUUAGAAACCCUUGUAGUCC
rnacentral:rRNA from 1 species